CUGGCGGCGUGCCUAAUACAUGCAAGUCGAACGGUCUUUCUAUGGAAGCUUGCUCCACUGAAAAGAUAGUGGCGAACGGGUGAGUAACACGUGGGUAACCUGCCCAUAAGAGGGGGAUAACAUCCGGAAACGGGUGCUAAUACCGCAUAGUUUUCUUGAUCGCAUGAUCGGGAAAGGAAAGACGGCCUUUGUGCUGUCGCUUAUGGAUGGACCCGCGGCGUAUUAGUUAGUUGGUGAGGUAACGGCUCACCAAGACGAUGAUACGUAGCCGACCUGAGAGGGUGAUCGGCCACAUUGGGACUGAGACACGGCCCAAACUCCUACGGGAGGCAGCAGUAGGGAAUCUUCCGCAAUGGACGAAAGUCUGACGGAGCAACGCCGCGUGAGUGAAGAAAGGUUUUCGGAUCGUAAAACUCUGUUGUCAGAGAAGAACAAGUUGGAGAGUAACUGCUCCAGCCUUGACGGUAUCUGACCAGAAAGCCACGGCUAACUACGUGCCAGCAGCCGC
rnacentral:rRNA from 1 species